UCCAGCCUAGCAAAGCUUGGACCCGCAUCGAGCUUAAGUAGCUUGUGAGUUCCUCAGCUCAUUUACAUCCCUAAUUGUCUUUACUAUUCUCCUCAGAUGCUCUCCCUACACCAAAUCCCAUCCCUACCAUAUGACAAACCCAAGAUAUCCUCCAUGAUAAUCUGUAUUUGCUCUAUGCCAUUUCUAUGACAUAGAUUAGGCCAAGAAGAAUGUUAGGUGUUUGGCUCUCACAUUCCCUUCAAAUGACCACAUUAACGCUCAAGUC
rnacentral:lncRNA from 1 species